rnacentral:rRNA from 1 species
UGGAGGGCAAGUCUGGUGCCAGCAGCCGCGGUAAUUCCAGCUCCAAUAGCGUGUAUUAAAGUUGUUGCAGUUAAAAAGCUCGUAGUUGAAUUUCAGGCCUGGCUGGACAGUCCGCCCUUCGGGUGAGUACUGUCUGUGGUCGGGUCCUACCUUCUGGCGAAGCGUCAUGGCCUUAACCGGCCGUGGCGGGGAACCAGGACUUUUACUGUGAAAAAAUUAGAGUGUUCAAAGCAGGCAAUCGCUUGGAUACAUUAGCAUGGAAUAAUGGAAUAGGACAAUGGUUCUAUUUGUUGGUUUCUAGGACCGUUGUAAUGAUUAAUAGGGAUAGUUGGGGGCAUUAGUAUUCAAUUGUCAGAGGUGAAAUUCUUGGAUUUAUUGAAGACUAACUACUGCGAAAGCAUUUGCCAAGGAUGUUUUCAUUAAUCAAGAACGAAAGUUAGGGGAUCGAAGACGAUCAGAUACCGUCGUAGUCUUAACCAUAAACUAUGCCGACUAGGAAUCGGGCGAUGUUGACAAAAUGACGCGCUCGGCACCUCAUGGGAAAC